rnacentral:rRNA from 1 species
GAUGAACGCUGGCGGCGUGCCUAAUACAUGCAAGUCGAGCGAACAGACGAGGAGCUUGCUCCUCUGACGUUUGCGGCGGACGGGUGAGUAACACGUGUAUAACCUACCUAUAAGACUGGGAUAACUUCGGGAAACCGGAGCUAAUCCCGGAUAAUAUAUUGAACCGCAUGGUUCAAUAGUGAAAGACGGUUUUGCUGUCACUUAUAGAUGGAUCCGCGCCGCAUUAGCUAGUUGGUCAGGUAACGGCUUACCAAGGCAACGAUGCGUAGCCGACGCGAGAGGGGGAUAGCCCACACGGGAACUGAGACGCGGUCCAGGCUCCUAAGGGAGGGAGCAGAAGGGAAUCUGCCGCAGUGGGCGAAAGCCUGACGGAGCAGCGCCGCGUGAGAGAUGAAGGUCUUCGGAGCGUAAAACUCGGUUAGUAGGGAAGAACAAAUGUGGAAGUAAAUAUGCACGGCUUGACGGUACCUAAUCAGAAAGCCACGGCUAACUACGUG